CAUCCGGAGGUGCGCCGCCACAGGAAUCGCCUCCGCCGUCACGGCUGUGGCCACCUGCAGCUUGCUGGAUGGCCUCCGCCGUUGUGGCUGUGGCCUGGCGCAGACACGGGGAGCGGCGAUUGAGUUGUUGGUGAGGACGUGCUGCCCAAAUCCAAAUCGUGGCCAACAAACGUCAUCCGCCUCCACAAAGGAAUCUCCAGCAGACUAUAUUUACAUCAAACAAAAUGGUGGAAAAAAGAGACAAUAGAUCAAGGUGUUCAGACAAUGCAGGCAAAAUAGAGGAACCAGCUCUGUCAUGCCAAAAUAAACGGACCAGCAGUGGCCCAGCGCGGCAACGCCGCGCGUCCUUUCUAGUUUACUACUAAAGCAUGCUAAUAAUAUACCGUAACACCAAUCUGCACUACUGGAAUCUGCUACUUCGCCGUGUGCCUGAGGCGCACGGCGAAGGCCAUCCAACACACGGCGAAGAUCGCUAUGUAAAAACCUCAAAUAGGUAACACGACAUUGGUAACGGGCUAACGUGGCCCGUUACCAAAAAUAUUAAAGGUAACAAACGUUAUUAAUGUCCGUUACCAAUGAGUCUACGUCCGUUACCUACAAGGCCUCUAAAUCACAGCCCAAUCUUAUUUGUGGUAACGGACCACAAAAUGUCUGUUACCCAUCGCUAGUUCCGGACCCGAAUUUUUAUUUCAAUCACGUUAAUUUGUUACCUCUCGGGUCUGCCCCCUCCCCUCCCCUCCCUCUCCCUCUCGCAGACUCACCCUAUCCUCUCCCUCCCCACUGCCACGACCCUGGCCCCCCUAAUGCUCGCGUAGCUCCAUUAGCCGAAGAUGAAACUUAUCCAGCGAUAACUUGCGGCAAGACUGUUGACCCCCUAAAUCACUUGCCCCCAACGAUCAAAUCCUGCCUCCGCCCCUGCCCCCUCCCCUGUGCCUCCGCCGGCCUCCCCCUCCCCCGCCUUCGACCGCCCCCUCCGGCAGCCGACGCGCAUCACCUGGCUGCUCGUCCUCGCCGGUCCUCUGUUCUCCUUCGAUGGAUCGGACUGACUCUAACCUAGGGGUCAGGCGGUUCGAUCCACUGCGUCGCAUCUCCCUUCCGAGCAGCGGCGGCGGCAGCGGGCGCUCACGGAGACGCCGCUAGCGCUAGGUUCUCCGCCGGUGACCACCCACGAAGAUCCCUGCCGCGCUCCACCGUCUCGUCGAGCCCAUCCACUCCGGCAGCUGCCCCAUUCCCCGCCGACUGCCCUGUGCCACCAGUGCCUAUUGCGUCAUCCUCGUCGGUGCCUUCGAGAGCUUCUACAGGUCGGUCUCCUCCCUGAACCAGCAGCUUACAGUUCAUGGUUGCGAUUGACCAAUUGUGAAGCUCCAUUAUUGGUACUGAACUCCUUAUGCUCUAUUUAUCUAUUUCUGGUGAUUUAAUUUGACGGCCAUGAACCUUGAUUUCUAUUCUAUUCUGUACAUUCUAGAGUAUGUCUCUUGAUUCUUAACCUUGACUUCUCAAAUUACAUGUGGAUUAAUUUGGUACUUUGGCCAUUUGCUACUUUAAGGCAGCAAUUUUGUUCUAUGCAACUGUCAGAUUUCAUUCAAUUCUUAUGGAAAUUAUGGAAAAUUAGUACUACUUUCAAUCUUGGAUUUCCUGGUUCAUGGAACUUGUGAUUCCUGAAACUUGCGUACGUGCAGGGUGGAGUCCUCUGCUAAUCCAGGUGCCUGUUUAUUUCUGAUGUGUAAAGCUGAGGCCUGAGGAAGGAAGCAAAAUGAAAAUUGACUUUGUGAAUUCAUUUGCUUGAUUACACUUUCUCCAAAAUUAUACAUUCGACAAGCAUUGCAAUGUAGCUAGCAAGUGCAUUCGACACACAUGUUCUUUAGGCUUGAAUGCAAGGAGUUGUACUUGUUAUGUUAUCACAACAAUUUUCAUUUUUCAUAGCUGUUUUACUUUGCUGAAAUAUAAUAUGCUCUGCUACUAGCCUGCAACUCGUUUGCCCUGAUCUCAUCUUUUGUGAUCCAUUUAUUUGUGUAGGGUGCUCACAAAUUUGACGUGCUGAAUAGUCUCAUUGGCUACUCAAUCAUGGGAGCUAAUAUUCAUCAUAUUUUCUAUUUCUGUCCAAUACUAGUAGUACCCAAGCUGCAGCUUCAGAGGGAGGAUCGCCUUGCUACAGCCUUGCCUCCAGGUGGACCUACAUAUAAAGGAUGAGGAGUCCUGGAUCUUAAUGUGCAGUACUGAACAAUCUGAGGAUGGGCAUUUGUUGAUGUUAACUACGGUGGAAUCUCGUGUCUUCUACUCAUUACAUAUGUAUUGCAAUGAACUAUAUAUUUGCAGUGAUGCUUAUUUUUUUUCAUAGAAUACUUGAGCUGAGGCAUUUGCAGUUAGUAUUUUUUGUGAUGUAGAUCAAUUUUAGUAUGCCUUUGCUUCAAUUUUAGUCAAAUUGGGCCUCUGGGCAUGUACAACUACUUGUGAAUGCAGCUAUCUUUUUUCUUUUUUCCAUUAGAGGUUGCAGUAGUGCGUGAAUGUAACUAUAUACUCAUUAGAGGUGAAUGUGAUCUGAGUGUAUGGAUGUAACUAUAUGUAUGCAUGUAUAAAAUAAAAGAAUAGAAUGUAUUUUGAUU